UACAGAGGUCCCAAGCGUUGUUCGGAUUUACUGGGCGUAAAGGGUGCGUAGGUGGUCGGGUAAGUCUCAUGUGAAAUCUCCAAGCUUAACUUGGAAACGGCAUGGGAUACUAUUCGGCUAGAGGAUUGGAGGGGGGACUGGAAUUCCCGGUGUAGCAGUGAAAUGCGUAGAUAUCGGGAGGAACACCAGUGGCGAAGGCGAGUCCCUGGACAAUUCCUGACGCUGAGGCACGAAAGCUAGGGGAGCAAACAGG
rnacentral:rRNA from 1 species